rnacentral:lncRNA from 1 species
CAGAGGGAAGGGAGAAAAGUGAGGAGAGAAACAUUUUGUCAGGAGAAGAAGUGAGACAGGCCGGAAACAGAGGAAGUGGGGGUUGGGAGACAGGUGAGGAGAGAUAUUGUUUGUCAGGAGAAGGAAAGUGACAGGCAGGUAACAGAGGAAGUGGGAAUGAAAACUUUGAACCUUCUUCAUGUAGAACAAAACAACAAAAUUAAGGCAAACAUUGUGACAGAGAAGGAAAAAAGUAGAAGAUGCAUUCUGCUAGCAAACACAAACACAAAAUGUGUAGAAGGCUACAAAGCUUGCCCUGGUUGUCAAGGUGCUUCAGGUAGUGACCAUAGCUAGUAUCUUUUCCAUUUUAGAUUUUACAGUUGUAUCUAAUUUGACAUAAUAUGGUAACACAUUGACAAGGUAAAUGUAACAUGUAUGUCGUUUAUUUGUACUGUAUGCAAACUGUAUGUUUCAUUCUGAGAAAUAUCAGGGUCAAUCAGGAACUGCUACAGCCAUGUCAGCCAUGUUGUUUUAUUUUAAUCAGCACCCAUUCCACAUUGAUCCCACAGAGGAUCUAAUCAUGUCAAAGGUAUAUACAGUAGGUCUACUGUAGACAUACUGUAAAAAAGUCAGAAACAAGAUAUUCUUGAAUAUACUUUAUUCCGUUCAUUGAGGAAAUUCAGUGAUUUGAGAAAGUAGAAAAAUAUUCCCAUUGAGGUUUACUUUUUCUAUAAAUUCAGUCAAUGUCAGAUAAAGACAAUGUGCUCUGCGGGUUCCCUUCUGAUGUCAUGCUGUAUUCUAAGGGCAGGUUCAUUCAAAAUCCAAUAUACCAAUAUGCCAGGUCCAAUACAGACUUUUACAAUUCAGAAUAAAUAAUGUUGUACUUUUACAUCCCAGUGAGUAGACAUAUGGUAAACAGUUUUACAACAAACAAGAUUUAAAUCACAAUGAUACAAAACACUGACUUGAUUCAAAGGAUGUUAGUGUAUAUUUGGUGGUUUCUGUGUAUCUAGAACAGAUGUAUGCAUGCUGAUGAUAAAUAGCAGAGUUCUGUAUCUGUCUUCUCAGCAUACUGUAUCUUGACGGUUGUGCAUGUUGAUGUUCAGGUGGUGAUGGAAGUCCAUGUCUCGAGCUCCACUAGAGACAACAGUAAAGGGUCACACAGAUAGAUGCUCCAUCUGGAAGAGACAAGCACAGACUAUUAGUUCAACAACAUCAUCUCUGUCCAAAUGAUGAUGCUGUAAAUGUUCAACUAUUAUGUCUUGGAUGAGCUUAGAACUUUGAACUUGGAGGGGUAUUGCUGUCACACCCAAGGCUAUGAAUUGUCCUUUCCUUUUGUUCUCUAGCAGUCAGCGUGUGUGUAUUAUACAAUACAGUUUAUAUUGUGUUUCAAACCGACUGUUACAAAACAGUUUAUAUUGUGUUUCAAACCGACUGUUACAAAACAGUUUAUAUUAUGUUUUGAACCGACUGUUACAAUACAGUUUACAGCGGUGUGGACUCGAGUCACAUGGCUUGGACUCGAGUCAGACUCGAGUCACAAAUAUGAUGACUUGCAACUCGACUUUGACUUUAACACCAAUGACUCGUGAUUUAACAUGGACUUGAGCCUUUUGACUCGAAAAGACUUGAUACCCUCCCCAAGCCCAAAUAUGAAAAAUGAUGUUAUUUAAAAAAGUGUGCAGCGCAUAAACUUUUCAUUUAACGGAUUACAGUUUGAAUUGGACAGCAACCAAUCAAAUUGUGGCAGCUAAGAAAAGUUGUGUGGCAGUGCAGAGGAACGUCAGUGGGUGAAUUCAGAUGGAGCCCUUUACAGUUUAUAUUGUGUUUCAAACCGACUGUUACAAUACAGUUUAUAUUGUGUUUCAAACCGAUUGUUACAAUACAGUUUAUAUUGUGUUUCAUCCGAUUGUUACAAUACAGUUUAUAUUGUGUUUCAAACCGAUUGUUACAAUACAGUUUAUAUUAUGUUUCAAACCGACUGUUACAAUACAGUUUAUAUUGUGUUUCAAACCGACUGUUACAAUACAGUUUAUAUUGUGUUUCAAACCGACUGUUACAAUACAGUUUAUAUUGUGUUUCAAACCGACUGUUAC